AAAGACCUAGAUAAAUUGAAGAACUGGGCUUUUGGGCCAUUAUCUUUUCUUUUGUUUCUCUUUUUUGUACAUUUGUUCACAGUUGCCAGCAUCUGUUCUGGAGGACAUUUUUAUUGAUCUGGUUCUCCAGGAGGGUGAUGAGGCAAUUUUGAAGCUGGCCCUUGUGUGCACUCGCUUCAGAGACCUUGUGACACGGGAAGGCUUCAGGAGACGAGCCCAUUUUCUUUGGCUUGAUAGUGUCACAAAUUGGACUGUUUUCUCACCGUACUACAAGGCGGAGUACUACAAAAUGUACAAACUGGAAACGUGUCGGCAAUGUGGAGACGUGUACAAACACUGCACUCCAGGAUAUGGAGGUCGAGGAAGAAAGGGGGAACUUUUUAGAAUGACU